rnacentral:rRNA from 1 species
CAGCAGCCGCGGUAAUACGUAGGUGGCAAGCGUUGUCCGGAAUUAUUGGGCGUAAAGGGCUCGCAGGCGGUUUCUUAAGUCUGAUGUGAAAGCCCCCGGCUCAACCCGGGAGGGUCAUUGGAAACUGGGAAACUUGAGUGCAGAAGAGGAGAGUGGAAUUCCACGUGUAGCGGUGAAAUGCGUAGAGAUGUGGAGGAACACCAGUGGCGAAGGCGACUCUCUGGUCUGUAACUGACGCUGAGGAGCGAAAGCGUGGGGAGCGAACAGGAUUAGAUACCCCGGUAGUCCCUGUCUCUUAUAC